AAGACAUCCCCUUACAGGCUGAGUGCUCCCCCUGUUCUCCCAGGAAGACAUCCCCUUAAGGGCUGAGUGCUCCACAGUCACUGUCCAGCUGCUCCUCCAAGGUCUGGAGAUGAUAGGGAUGCCCACUUAGGGCUGGGCACUCAACAGUCGCUUACUCUCAGCCUUUGAUCCAUAGGAUGGCCACAUGCUGACAUGGCAAAGCUGAUCACAGCAAGGAUGGAACAGGAAGGGGCUCCUCUUGUGCAGUUAUCACAUCUGAGGAUCUGGU